rnacentral:rRNA from 1 species
UACGUAGGGGGCGAGCGUUGUCCGGAAUCAUUGGGCGUAAAGCGCGUGUAGGCGGCCCGGUAAGUCCGCUGUGAAAGUCCAGGGCUCAACCCUGGGAUGCCGGUGGAUACUGUCGGGCUCGAGUCCGGAAGAGGCGAGUGGAAUUCCUGGUGUAGCGGUGGAAUGCGCAGAUAUCAGGAGGAACACCGAUAGCGAAGGCAGCUCGCUGGGACGGUACUGACGCUGAGGCGCGAAAGCGUGGGGAGCGAACAGG